rnacentral:rRNA from 1 species
CAGUAGCCGCGGGAACACGUAGGGUGCAAGCGUUACUCGGAAUUACUGGGCGUAAAGCGUGCGUAGGUGGUGGUUUAAGUCCGUUGUGAAAGCCCUGGGCUCAACCUGGGAAUUGCAGUGGAUACUGGGUCACUAGAGUGUGGUAGAGGAUAGUGGAAUUUCCGGUGUAGCAGUGAAAUGCGUUGAGAUCGGAAAGAACACCAACGGCGAAAGCACUCUGCUGGGCCGACACUGACACUGAGAGACGAAAGCUAGGGGAGCAAAUGGGAUUAGAUACCCCCGUAGUCCCUGUCUCUUAUAA